rnacentral:rRNA from 1 species
CCUACGGGUGGCAGCAGUAGGGAAUCUUCCACAAUGGGCGAAAGCCUGAUGGAGCAACGCCGCGUGGGUGAAGAAGUAUUUCGGUAUGUAAAGCUCUAUCAGCAGGGAAGAAAAUGACGGUACCUGACUAAGAAGCCCCGGCUAACGACGUGCCAGCAGCCGCGGUAAUACGUAGGGGGCAAGCGUUAUGCGGAUUUACGGGGUGUAAAGGGAGCGUAGACGGUGCAGCAAGUCUGAUGUGAAAGGUCGGGGCCCAACCCCGGGACUGCAUUGGAAACUGUUGAACUGGAGUACAGGAGAGGUAAGCGGAAUUCCUGGUGUAGCGGUGAAAUGCGUAGAUAUUAGGAGGAACACCAGUGGCGAAGGCGACUUACUGGACUGUAACUGACGUUGAGGCUCGAAAGCGUGGGGAGCAAACAGGAUUAGAUACCCCUGUAGUC